CACGUAGGGUGCAAGCGUUAAUCGGAAUUACUGGGCGUAAAGCGUGCGCAGGCGGUUAUGCAAGACAGGUGUGAAAUCCCCGGGCUUAACCUGGGAACUGCAUUUGUGACUGCAUAGCUAGAGUACGGUAGAGGGGGAUGGAAUUCCGCGUGUAGCAGUGAAAUGCGUAGAUAUGCGGAGGAACACCGAUGGCGAAGGCAAUCCCCUGGACCUGUACUGACGCUCAUGCACGAAAGCGUGGGGAGCAAACAGG
rnacentral:rRNA from 1 species